GACGGAGGAUGCAAGUGUUAUCCGGAAUCACUGGGCGUAAAGCGUCUGUAGGUGGUUCGAAAAGCCCACUGUUAAAAAUUGAGGCUUAACUUCAAAGAUGCCGUGGAAACUUUCAAACUAGAGUAUGGUAGGGGUAGAGGGAAUUUCCAGUGGAGCGGUGAAAUGCGUAGAUAUUGGAAAGACCACCGAUGGCGAAGGCACUCUACUGGGCCACUACUGACACUGAGAGACGAAAGCUAGGGGAGCAAAUGGG
rnacentral:rRNA from 1 species